AUGGUAAACAACUUAACAUGGGUGGGAGUGGAAAUUUUGUCUGCGGUUUUACAGCGGAUUUUAAUUUAUUUUAAGCCAUUUUAAUCGAUACAUGCUAGUUGUUUUGUGGAGUGACAAUCGUGGUGGCGAUAUCACGAACGAUCGUACCCGAGUGAUGGAUUUAAUGUGUGGACGGAUUCGUUCUGCUGGCGCAAUAACCUAAAGCCAAACGGACGAAUGCUACAACUGUGUUGGAUGGUAGUUCCUGGCAACACUCAGGGAGGAUAAGUUCCAUAGAACAGGUGAGCUAGUGAACAUUUACUGAUGCUUUUUGUUUUCCGUUUUAGGUGGCGAUCGGACAAUGAUGGGGAAGGCAACUCGAGUUGGAUGCUACGCUACAUUUCCAUACAUGCGAUGUCACACGACACGGGGUGUCCAUAAAUAGCGCAACAUCUCAAGAUAAGUUUCACAACCGGAAGAAAGUGUGAGAUGUUCAAUCAAACACGCAGAACAAUACCGAUAAUAUCAGUACGCAGAUCCCAAAUAUUAUUGUAUUCUAAAUCACUAUACGCAAUGAACCUUAAACAACACUAAGUACCUGAAUAUUGUACCUCAUAAACUCCAAAAAUACCAAGCCUAUAUGUGGCUGAAUAGUGAUAAGUCCUUCAGAUAACUCAUCUAAUUAGUAGAUGAAAUGUAGUCUUUCAACCAAUGUUGAGGUCAUUUAGCUAGUAGUUUAUACUGAU